rnacentral:rRNA from 1 species
AACGAACGCUGGCGGCGUGGCUAAGACAUGCAAGUCGAACGGUACGUUGUAGCAAUAUGACGUACAGUGGCGGACGGGUGAGUAAUAAAUAGGUAACGUAUCUCGGACACAGGGAUAGCGUCGGGGCGAAAGCCCCUUUGCGAAAGUGACGGUAAUACCUGAUGACGUCCUUGAGGGGCAUCCCUCAAGGACCAAAAGGUGGGCCUUACGGCCUGCUGGUCUGGGCGCGGCCUAUUCCCAUCAGCUUGUUGGUGAGGUAACGGCUCACCAAGGCAACGACGGGUAACCGGACUGAGAGGUUGGCCGGUCACAUCGGGACUGAGACACUGCCCGGACAUCUACGGAUGGCUGCAGUAACGAAUAUUCCGCAAUGGGCG